rnacentral:lncRNA from 1 species
CAGGCACCUGCUCUGUGGAUGAGAGGUGUGGCCUGGUGAUGUUGCCAGAGAGGGCAUAUCUGUUUCCUGGGGGUGGAAUAAAAUGAAUUCUCCCAGGUCUUACACCUGCUAUAAGAUGCUUCUGGUCAAUGGGUAUUUGGAAUACUGCCACGUUAGUUAGCGGGGAGGCAUCUGGGAUCUUUGAUUCUGUGCCACAAAGCAGUUCCCUUUACUAUGUCAGAACCCCCCUUACCUUUUGAGCUCACCCGGCCCUGCCACCUGGUAUUCCAUAACCUUCUCUCAAAGGCAACAGAAAGACCACAAGAUACUGUAGACAAUCCAUUGGUGUGAUUAAAUAUUUUGGAGAUCUCUUGGCAUUUGCUUCCUGGCAACUGUGGGGUAACGUUCUCUACACCAAAUGUCUCAAACUCAACUGUCUACAAGAGCCAAGUAAGUGCCCUAAUGAAUGAAGUCGGCCAGGCAGGAACUGAGAAUUACAGAAGGGAGGCGUCCACCAUCACCCUUGCUUGGAAUGCAGAGAAAAGAAGGAACAGAAGUCGAAGGAAGGAAGACACAGAUAAGAGCAGCAAAAUAAGAGAAGAAAAAGAAGCAGUAGAGAAUCAAAAGAGCCAAAAAUGGUUUCUUUGAAAAGACUAAUAAAAUCGACACAUUUGUUAGCAACACUAAUCAAAGGAGGAAGAAAGAGAACGCAAUGUAAAGCUAAGAUGAAAAGGGAGUACAUUUCUGAUUUGAACAUGGCGAAUUAAAGACAGGAUUUCCCUCUUUUCUUUAUAGGAAACAAUCAUAACAAGAAUAAGAAGCAAGCCGGGUGCGGUGGCUCAUGCCUGUAAUUCCAGCACUUUGGGAGGCCGAGCUGGGAGGAUCACUUGAGCCCAGGAGUUUGAGACCAACCUGGGUAACAUAAUGAGACCUUACAAAAAAAAAUAAAAUUAAAUUUCAAAAACAUAAUUAGAUACCAGUGUAUCCCCAGCAGAUUGACACAAAUUAAAAGUCAACAGUAUCCUGUGUUGGUGAAGACAUACAGCAACUGGAAGUCUCCUGUGCAUGUUAGCCAUGUUUAUACCUUUCAUCUCAGCAGUUUCACUCUUAACGAUAUAUGCUAGAGAAACUCUUACUCAUGUGCUCCACAGACAGGUAGGAGGGCCCAAGGUAACCUUGUUUGUAAUUAAGAAAAAAUAAAAACAGGAAACAAGCCAAGUGUCCAAUGGGAUAAUGGAUUAGUAAAUUGUGAUACACAAUGAAACUGCAUAUGUGCGCACAUCAACAUGAACGAACCCUCCAAACAUAAUGUUGAGGAAAAAACAAGCAAAUCACAGAAUACAAAAAAUAUAUAAUACCUU